rnacentral:rRNA from 1 species
AACAGGAUUAGAUACCCUGGUAGUCCACGCCGUAAACGAUGUCGACUUGGAGGUUGUUCCCUUGAGGAGUGGCUUCCGGAGCUAACGCGUUAAGUCGACCGCCUGGGGAGUACGGCCGCAAGGUUAAAACUCAAAUGAAUUGACGGGGGCCCGCACAAGCGGUGGAGCAUGUGGUUUAAUUCGAUGCAACGCGAAGAACCUUACCUACUCUUGACAUCCACGGAAUUUGGCAGAGAUGCUUUAGUGCCUUCGGGAACCGUGAGACAGGUGCUGCAUGGCUGUCGUCAGCUCGUGUUGUGAAAUGUUGGGUUAAGUCCCGCAACGAGCGCAACCCUUAUCCUUUGUUGCCAGCGAUUCGGUCGGGAACUCAAAGGAGACUGCCGGUGAUAAACCGGAGGAAGGUGGGGAUGACGUCAAGUCAUCAUGGCCCUUACGAGUAGGGCUACACACGUGCUACAAUGGCGCAUACAAAGAGAAGCGACCUCGCGAGAGCAAGCGGACCUCACAAAGUGCGUCGUAGUCCGGAUCGGAGUCUGCAACUCGACUCCGUGAAGUCGGAAUCGCUAGUAAUCGUGGAUCAGAAUGCCACGGUGAAUACGUUCCCGGGCCUUGUACACACCGCCCGUCACACCAUGGGAGUGGGUUGCAAAAGAAGUAGGUAGCUUAACCUUCGGGAGGGCGCUUACCACUUUGUGAUUCAUGACUGGGGUGAAGUCGUAACAAGGUAACC